rnacentral:rRNA from 1 species
UACGUAGGUGGCAAGCGUUAUCCGGAAUUAUUGGGCGUAAAGAGCGCGCAGGUGGUUGAUUAAGUCUGAUGUGAAAGCCCACGGCUUAACCGUGGAGGGUCAUUGGAAACUGGUCGACUUGAGUGCAGAAGAGGGAAGUGGAAUUCCAUGUGUAGCGGUGAAAUGCGUAGAGAUAUGGAGGAACACCAGUGGCGAAGGCGGCUUCCUGGUCUGUAACUGACACUGAGGCGCGAAAGCGUGGGGAGCAAACAGGAUUAGAUACCCCCGUA